UUGUUCCUACUCUUCUUGUUUCUCGAUUGAUGCCUCGAGUCGGGAGGGAUGGUGAGGGAGGGGAGGAAGGGGAGAGACCCAGGUUCGUGAUAAACGUGUCGAGCCCGGAAGGGAG
rnacentral:SRP_RNA from 1 species